CAAUAGCGUAUAUUAAAGUUGUUGCGGUAAAAAAGCUCGUAGUUGGAUUUCUGUUGAGAGCGACCGGUCCAUACCAUGUAUGCGUAUCUGGCUUGCUCUCGGCAUCCUCUCGAUAGACGUUACUGCGCUUGACUGCGUGGUGCGGAUCUCGGGACUUUUACUUUGAGGAAAUUAGAGUGUUCACGGCAGGCUUUCGCCAGAAUACAUUAGCAUGGAAUAAUACUAUAGGAUCUUGGUUCUAUUUUGUUGGUUUCUAGAAUUGAGAUAAUGAUUAAUAGGGACAAUUGGGGGCAUUCGUAUCAACACGUCAGAGGUGGAAUUCUUGGAUUGUGUUGCGACGAACUACUGCGAAAGCAUUUGCCAAGGAUGUUUUCAUUGA
rnacentral:rRNA from 1 species